UACGUAGGGGGCAAGCGUUAUCCGGAUUUACUGGGUGUAAAGGGAGCGUAGACGGCCGGACAAGUCUGAAGUGAAAAUCCAGCGCUUAACGUUGGAAGUGCUUUGGAAACUGCCGGGCUAGAGUGCAGGAGGGGCAGGCGGAAUUCCUAGUGUAGCGGUGAAAUGCGUAGAUAUUAGGAGGAACACCAGUGGCGAAGGCGGCCUGCUGGACUGCAACUGACGUUGAGGCUCGAAGGCGUGGGGAGCAAACAGG
rnacentral:rRNA from 1 species